GACAGAAAUUAACCAAUAGAACUAUUAAGCAGAAAUCAGAUAUUUCUUAAUGAACUCAACAUUUACAACAUGAAAUAACAUCCCAAAACCGGUAGUACAAGUCAUAAGUUCUACUGAGUUUACUAGAAAAAUCCCUAAAUACAACUGUUCGGAAUAGAAUUAAACAGUACAAGUACAAUAUCAUAAGGUAACUCUGAGACCUGCAAACGCGGCGACAGGUUUACCUUGAGUCUCUGCAGCAAUGCUCGACCAUCUAGAUAAUAAUCAACAAUAUCCGAGGCACCUAGGUCUACACAACAAUGUGCAGAAGCGUAAUAUGAGUACACCACAGCGCUACCUAGUAAGUAUCAAGACUAACCUCGGUGGAGUAGUGACGAGGAACAGUCAAGACACCCAUUGGACUAAACAACCUAAACAAGUAUAAAUAUAGAACUAACUGGGAACGAUAUCAAUAUAAAGCUAGGCAUGAUGACAAUAAUAAUACAAUGUUGGUAAUAGGGACUAAGGCCUCAUUUGUUUUUUUAAGAUUAAGACGUCCGAAUCUGAAUACGCGUCUGAAUAUCAAGAUGUGUAUUAAGAUUAAGACAUCUGAAUCUGAAUACACAUCUGAAUGUUAAGAUGUGUAUUAAGAUAUAAAUACUAAAUGAUUAAGACUAUUUGAUUUUUAACAUCUGAAUGUAUAAAAUUUAUGUUUAUUUGAAAAUUAAUAAACAUAAAAUUCAAAUAAAAUACUAAUUAAUCUAAUAUUUCGUCACUAAAAUAUAUAACUUUUUAAAAUAUGAUAGUUGUUGGUGGUGAUGGCUAACGGUAGUGCUUGUGAAUGCCGACUAAAAGUGGUGGUAGAUUUGGUUAAUGGUGGUAGUUUAGGGUAGUAGCUAGUGGUGAUUAGUAGUGGUAGCUAUUAUGAUUGAGGAUGGUGGUGGUGGGUGAUGAUAGUUAAUAAUGGCAGGUGGUGAUGAUGGUAGUUGUGAUUGAGGAAGAUGGUAGUGGGUGGUGGUAGUUUAUAAUAAUGGGCAGUACCGGCUAUGGUUGUUGAUGGUGAUGGGGUGGUUAGUUGUGGUAGUUGAGGUAGAUGACUGUUGGUUGUCCUUGAGAAUGAUAGUGGUGGGAGUGGUGGGGAUGGUGGGUGGUUGUAGUCGACAAUUGUGGCGGCUAUGAUUGAGGAUGAUGGUGGUAGUAGUGGUUGAGUAUGGUGGUGGUGGGUGGCAUGAUGGUACUUGAUAACGGUAGGCGGUGGCGGCAGUUAAUAAUGAAUAUAGAUAAUAUCAUCUUAAUUAAAUUAAGUCUAUGUUAUAGAUCUUAAUGAUACAGACCAAUUCAGACCCAUUAAGUGGUUGUGAAGUAAAACAAACAAACACACUUAACGAUUAAGAUCUGAAUAACUAAGAUUCAGACUUUAAAAACAAACGCACUUAAUGCCUGAGAUCUGAAUGAUUAAGAUUCAGACCUCCAUUAAGUGCAAACAAAUGAGGCCUAAAAGCAACAGUUAGCAACGAGACACAACAGGUAAUAACACUGUAGAGUAAGCUCAACACAGUUUAAAUACGGUGAAGCCAAAUAAAUGAAGACAAGUGACAACUCAGUAGGAACAACCGCUUUCACACUAGGUUUAUCCAAGAACUUCCACGAGGUACCAAACCUCAAAAUCACAAAUCACGGGUCCCAAUUCGUGAACCCUAAUCACUUGGCAUCUUGUGCCCACAUUACAAUUCAUAACAGCAUUGCCCAAGGAGUGACGGUAUCUAAUAUCUGCAUGGACCACUCAUGUGCCAACAAUAAUAAUGACUCAUGACUGCACGGACAACUUACGUGCCAACAAGAUAACUCUCACACAUAAGGCAAGUACACGGGGGCACAUGUAAAUGGUCAAAACAUCAAGAUUCAUCUUCUGAGACCAAUAUGGGCGAUUUAUCUACGUGUAUGCUUGUGCAAGUGUUCUACCCCAAUUCAGGUCAACAAGUAAGAUAGAGACAAUGAAUGGCACAUAAGAAACGAUCACCACAAAAUGUACAGUAUAAUAAAGACAGCAAUGAAAUUGAAACAAUGAUUAGCACAACAAGAUUAGCUACAUAGAAUUAAGCAAAUAGUGCAACACGGAGAAAGACAAUUAGUGGUAUGCUAAGGAAACAAGAAGCAAAGACAAGUAUAAAAUAAUGGGGAAAUGUCAACAAGAUUCACUACCGAGGUACCGCCACAUAGUCUCAAAUCAUAAAAUGAAUCACAAUCUUUUCUUAUAUCACCGCGAGAGCCUUUAAAUUUAGUUUUAAAAAUUAUUUUUUCCGAAAUAGCAUCCUGCGUUUUAGCCCACCUUAUCACACCGUAUGGCUUCUAGUAGUUCCCAUACAAGCCAUGCGUAUCAAGCCCACCUUAUCUCACCGUAUGUGUUUCAACACCCAUACCUUAUACCACUACAUGCAUAUCAAUAAUAAUAACAGCACGACAGAAACCUCGUGCAAACACCAUAACAACAGCACGAGAGAAACCUCGUGCAAACACCAUAACAACAGCACGGCAAAAACCUCAUGCAAUCACCGAAUAAUCCUCUCAACAAUAACACGUGUACCAAAACAUAACAACUCAACAAAAUGACUUUCACAAUAUGUGCCCAAAUUUCACAACAUUUCCUCAAAAUAGUUUCAACAUCACAACCACGCAUAGCCCUCAGCUCAACAACACUGAAUACAACAACAACAACAACAACAACAACAACAACAACAACAACAACAACAACAACAACAACAACAACAACAAUAACACGAGGAUACAACAAGUAAAUCAGCUCAGGAACUUCAGAACAUAAGGAAAUGGCAGAACGAGCUCACAAAGAAAGACACAAUAGGGAAUAAUGGUGGAGGUCCCUAGCUGCAAUAAAAAAACAGCGCUAACGAGCAAGAAAGACGAAGGAAUUGCAGCCUAACCAUCUAUGAGAUCGGAGACUUCGAGAGGCUUCCCAGUCCUCUUUCAGCUUUUUCUUACUUUUUUGAGCUCUCAGCUGCUUCGGCGGUGCUUUUUCGCCUUCUCUUCGCUCUGGACAGGAGUGUGCUUCCCUCUCGCUUGACUCACUUUGAUUCUGCACUUGCCAAGUAAGAACUUUUUUCUUAAGUAGCGGUCAUGUCUUCCCCCUCCCCCCCAAUAUAGUGACCACAUUUUCUGUUGAGGUCUAUCCUGCAGAGUUACUCAAAUUAUUCUUUCCACUGCUUGAAGUGAUUGUUACGAUCACGAAGAAACGACAAAUCCCAACUACAAAUAUAUAGAUCGUAGUAGUUCGCCAAACUCGUAGAAUGUAUGAAGUCGCCCCGAGAAUAGAAGCGAGUCGCUUCCAGCCUGUCUUGUAGUCGUAGUCUUUUAGCUUAUGUAGUCGUCGGCUUUCCUACAUGCAUGCCUCCGCCAGAAUGCCUCUUUGGUUUGGGACAAAGCCAAGCCGAUACAUAUGAUAUGCGAAGGAAAGACCCCCAUUUCAUAGCUCCUGGGGAACGCAAGUUUGAUCGAGGAUUGGAGAGGAGAGGUGGAAGAAAGAGCUCAGGAUGGAUUUAGGAGUCUUUGUACGAGCCGUAUGCGGUGUGAGAAAAAGCACCUUUCGUGAUUCAAGUAGUAAAAUCAGAUACAUGAUUGAGAAAGGAAUCUUCCAAGCGCAGAUUUAGCUGAAUCUAUUAUAAGGUAUGCAUUUUUUCUAUUUAGAGAGGGGGGGGGGGGUUUCAAGUUCUGAGGAAGAGCCGUACGAGACAGAUCACGUACGGUUCGGGAGCCGAGACCCUGCGCAGGGGUUUAGGUCAACACUUAUAUAAUAGCCAGUCAUCAAUUGGAAGCGGGCAAGAUGGUGAUAAAUUGUGACUGGUCUAAACCUUCGACUAGCGACUUAUUGCGACCUUCCCAGAAUGCUCAUACAGACUAAGACCUUAUUCACACAGCGAGGAAAGGCCGAGUGGAAGGGGACAGUCAGUUGGCUGCUUUUUUGCCAUGCGUUUUGCUUCGCUUUGUUUUAUAGAAGAAAGAGAUCAAAUGAGAGUUAAAGGCAAGGGCAAGCGAUAGAAAGGGGAGUCCCUCGCGAAAUACUACUACUAGAAAAUAGUGAGACCAUUAGUGAAAGAAGGACCAAGGAGGAUCCUAUCCUAAAGGAUAAGGAGGAGUCGGAGGAGUCAGUUUUCUUUGAAGAUCGAGGAACGUAGUGUCGGACAAUUAUGUCAUUCGGAAGAAGUCUUCUACAGAAGAAAAUCCUGUUACGAGUAAGUGGAGAGGAAAGAUCUCCAAGGAUUCUUAUCUGAUUCCAUUCCAGUGGCUCAACCAGUAACCAAUGGCGAAAACUCAAAAAUACAUGGUUUCCCGGUAGAACCCUAUUUCGCCCAAGUUGUUUGAGAACCGGAAAAAAGAAGUUAGAAAGAUGUUAUUUGCUGCUAUUCUAUCUAUUUGUGCAUCAAGUUCGAAGAAGAUCUUAUCCUAUACAGAGGCCUAUAUACAAAAAAAAGUACUUUGCCUAGAAUCCCAAGUUGCCUCCCCUCUUCUCUGAGGCCGAUCGCAUUCACUCAAACUUCCAAAACAAGCAGAAACACACGUUGUCGGUUCAGCAGCUCGAAGUUCAUCUCAAUAAAAUGUCAGGUCAACCGAAGUCUACAACUCGAAAUAUGAUAAAAAUGGUGAACCGAAGUCACAUUUGACACCUGCGAUUUGCCUCUGUUCCCUCAAACACAAGAAAAAUAACAGUCUUUCCAGACACGAAAAUGGACAUAACUCUCUCAUACGACCUCGGAAUACGACGAUUCUUGCUGCUAUGGUUCUGUAAUUACGAUACAGAUCUGAUGGUUCAAUCGAAUCACAAAUCAAAGGUCGUUUCCAUAGUAUGAUACCCUUUAUGCCAAAAGAAACGACACUGAAACAUCAAAUAAGAGCGCGGCACAAUCCAAACCCAUCCGAAACCCACUCGAGCCCCAUGGGACCCCAACCAAGUAUACUAACAAGUCCCAAAAUAUGAUACGAACUUGUUCGAAGCUUCAAAUUGCCUCUAACAACAAUAGAAUCAUGAAUCGCGCAUCGAUUCAAGCGUAAGAAACUUAUGAACUUCUAAAUUCCAAAACUCAUUUAUAUGAAACCAACUCCGAUUUACUUCAAAUUUUGCACAUAAGUCAUAAAUAAAAGUACGGACCUAUUCCAACUUUCGAAUCGGGAUCUGACCCCGACAUCAAUAAAGUCAACUCCCGGUCAAACUUUUCAAAAUCUUCCAUUUUUUCAACUUUUGCCAAUUCAUGCCGAAAUGACCUACAGAUCUCCAAAUCAAUAUCCGGACAUGUUUCUAAGACCAAAAUUACCAUACGGAGCUAUUGGAACCAUCAAAACUCUAUUUCGGAGUUAACUAUACAAAAGUCAAACUCCGAUCAACCCUUACCGCUUAAGCUUCUAAAACAAGAAUUCUUCUUCCAAAUCAAUCCCGAAUCAUCCAAAAUUCAAACUCGACCACGCACGCACGUCAUAACACAUAAUACGAAACUGCUCGAGACCUUAAACCAUCAAACGGAACGUAAAUUCUCAAAACGACCAGUCGAGUCAUUAUAGAAAGUUAUAAUGAACACUAACUACACCAAAAGGAUUGAUGGUCUAUCUGGAAAAAGCUAUCGAUUGUUAAAAAAAGAGACCUUUCUGUACAAUGCUCCCUAUCUUAGUUCCUUUAGGAUAACAUAACCUUUUCAAAAAACAUUAAGAAGCUCCUAGCAGAUAUCAAAUACACCAUAAGAAUUUUAGGUCCAUCAUAAAUGAUUUUAGCAUUAAGAGAAAAUACAACAAGAUCAGACCUCUUUAAUUUAUAAGCAUAACCCUGAGGAAAUCUGGCAUGAAGGAGAAAAGAGUAGAUUUCUGAGAUUUCUAAUCCUGAUUUAUGUUAUCACAUCAUGAAAAAUGGUGGAUCAUAAGAGGAAACUUGUAACCCAAGAUCAUCUGUUAACUGCAAUGUCGUUAUCUAGAUUUUGACAACAAAUUGAUGCCUCAAUAAUAGACAGAAUAUAUGGAUUAUCGUUGAUUGUACUGUGGCAAUAACAAGAACAAAUUCUCAAAUUACACCUUUUCUUUUUUUGUCGAGGGGCCAAUCACUUUCUAUAAAGCAAAUUUCUAAUAAAAUAAAGUAAAUUUUCCUUUCAUAAAUAGAAGUAAGGAUCAUGUAUAUAGUAAAUCGAUCAUAUUAGAUCAUGACAACACCUCACUUUGGAUCACUGAAAGCAUGUGAAGCAUAAAAAAAAUCCUUUAACCAUAUAUGUACACAUGCAAAAAUUCGAUAGCAUCAUCAAAAAUCCAUUCUAAAAGGGACUCUAGAAGAAAAUCAAAGAGCUACAUACAACAUAUGAAAGAAUAACAAGCAAUCAACAAGCUAAUGAUGAACAGUUAAGUGUCAGGAAAGUAUAAAACUACAUGUACUUCUAUAAGAGAAUGAUAAAACAGACCAACUCUGAAAGGUUAUAAAAUUAUGACAUUCAAUUCAAUUUAAAAGGAACUAUAACUAAUCAUAUGGUGUUUGUUUAUUGGUGGAUUGAUAACCAAUGAGGCCUCGGAGGCAAAAAUAUUUGGUGACUCUUCCAAUUUGUCCAAGCUUUGACGGGCAGAGUUUAACCGUACUGUACUGGUGGUAAUUCCUGACCCGGACACUACGGUUAUAAGAAAAAUUCUAAUCAUAUGAAGCAUGCAACCAAAAUAUGAUCCUUUUCCAUUGUUGUCAUCUACAACCAGACAAGUAGAAGAACAUGAACAAAACAUUGAAGAUUCUUAUGUUCUUCGAGAUUAAGCAGAUAAACAGAGAACUUAGUUUAAUGUCUCUCUGAAAAAUGAACAAUCAAAUUACCUUUAUGUUGACCAGAAAACUAGCACAACUUGGAGCGCACCGCCGAGAAAUGAAGGUGGCUAGGGUUUUGGAGUGGCGGCAACUCCGCAAGCAGAGACAGAAUGGAGGCGGAGGACUCAUAGGAAGAAAAAUAUCAAUGGACAAUAGAAAAUGCAUAAAAGGAUCGGCAAUGACAUAUAGGCGC
rnacentral:lncRNA from 1 species